AGGUUCUGGGUGGAGUGCUGCACAUUCUCCACAACAACCCGUGUCAUCUGGAGAUGUGUGUUGACUCCUGGCCUACAUUCACUACUGCCAUUUGUUACCGCCAAAAACAGGAACUUAUUGCCGCUGCCAAUUUCCAUCCUGGAAAAAUCCCACGCAGAGCUCGUCGACACACACUUGCCUUACGGAGGCAGCCAGGAGAGCCUGGACCAUGUGAGAGCCUGUAUCCGCCAUCUGCCCAACCUCUGUGUGUCGGAUGAGGAGGGCCGACCCGUGUCCUGGAUGCUGUCUGACGAGCUGUGUGAGCUGAGGAUGGCCUACACCCUCCCUCAGCACCGACGGGCCGGGCACCUCCUGGCUCUGUCUCGGGCUCUGAUGCGCAGGAUGAGCUCUGCCUGUCUACUGCCACAUCAACCGUCAGAACCAGGCCACCAUUAACGCUGUGACCUCACUCAGCUUCUCUGCUUGUUCCAGUAUGGAGACCAUCUCAGUGCUGCUAAUGUGCAAGGACAGAGUCUGGGAGAGCCAAACUGAUGAAAAUAAAGUCUGUUGGA